AUUAAUAUUCUUUCACAAUUGUAUUUUCAGCAUGGUGAUAGUGAUUAUGUGACCGUUUGGUCUAAAGGUUACAGAAUGACAAAAAACAGGCGUAGAUGAUUUCAUAAGAAACUUAGCGAAGAAAUGGAUAUCACCUAGAGACAGGUUUUUAAGACUGGCAGUCAGCUUCUGAGGAAGCCUGGCCAAUUUAUCAUUGCUAAACUUGACAUUAAGUUGCUAUCUUCUCGGGGAACAUUUGAGACUGUACAUAUGGUGGUUGAAUUAUAUUAAGGGUGGGACUCUUUUAACCUUCAGAAACAAGAUGAAGGUUGCUUGUGUCAAGCACAUUGCAUGUGCGACACAAAGGAAAUCAGGCCAUGAGCUAGGAGAGUCCACAAGGAGGUUCUCUUAUGAGGUUGGUAGUUCAGUUGCCAUGACCUCUGUUACUGAGACAGCAAAGACAAGGAAGCUCAGCUCAGCCUUUUUCUUGUGUGGGCAUCUGGACACAGGAUGCUGCUGCCCUUUCCAUUCUUCUCUCUCAUUUUCUGGUAUUUCGUUUUCAGAAAAGACCAUACUACAUACUCAUUCUACUUACAAGGUUGCUGCCUGCAAAGCGGAAUAGUGGAGGUUUCAAGAAAUUUGAAAGUUUCAUGAUCCCUGGUUGCAGCGAACACUAUUGAUAUUGUCAGUAUACCUUUAAAAAUGUGAUUAUACUGAAUACAUGAACUUUAAUGACCUGCUAUGUACAACUGCUUAAAGGAGUGGCUUUUGAGUGAA